rnacentral:misc_RNA from 1 species
GAUGAAGAAGCAGCAAAAUGCGAUAAGUAGUGUGAAUUGCAGAAUUCAGUGAAUCAUCGAAUCUUUGAACGCACAUUGCGCCCAUUAGUAUUCUAGUGGGCAUGCCUGUUCGAGCGUCAUUAAUUCCACUUAAGCCCUGCUUAGUGUUGGGAAUCUACUCUAGUGGUGCUACCCUGGAGCUACCCCUGAAAGGGGGCUGGCCCGGUAGCUACCCUGUAGUUCCUCAAAGAUAGUGCGCGGAGUUGCGUGGUCCUCUGAGCUUAGUAACUAUACACCUAGCUUUUGAGUGUCCCGCGGCGCCUGCCGUUUAAACCCCAUCUUUUAAUGGUUGACCUCGGAUCAGGUAGGAAUACCCGCUGAACUUAAGCAUAUCAAUAAGCGGAGGA